CCUACGGGUGGCAGCAGUAGGGAAUCUUUCACAAUGGGCGAAAGCCUGAUGGAGCAACGCCGCGUGCAGGAUGAAGGCCUUCGGGUUGUAAACUGCUUUUAUAAGCGAGAAAUAUGAUGGUAACUUAUGAAUAAGGAUCGGCUAACUACGUGCCAGCAGCCGCGGUCAUACGUAGGAUCCGAGCAUUAUCCGGAGUGACUGGGUGUAAAGAGUUGCGUAGGUGGCAUAAUAAGUAGCUAGUGAAAUCUGGUGGCUCAACCAUUCAGACUAUUAGCUAAACUGUUAAGCUCGAGACCGUUAGGGGUAACUGGAAUUUCUAGUGUAGGAGUGAAAUCCGUAGAUAUUAGAAGGAACACCAAUAGCGUAGGCAGGUUGCUGGGACGGUUCUGACACUAAGGCACGAAAGCGUAGGGGGCAAACGGGAUUAGAUAUCCCUGUAGUC
rnacentral:rRNA from 1 species